rnacentral:rRNA from 1 species
CGAAGGGUGCAAGCGUUACUCGGAAUUACUGGGCGUAAAGCGUGCGUAGGUGGUUCGUUAAGUCUGUCGUGAAAGCCCCGGGCUCAACCUGGGAAUGGCGAUGGAUACUGGCGGGCUAGAGUGCGGUAGAGGGUGGUGGAAUUCCCGGUGUAGCAGAGAAAUGCGUAGAGAUCGGGAGGAACAUCAGUUGCGAAGGCGGCCACCUGGACCAGCACUGACACUGAGGCACGAAAGCGUGGGGAGCAAACAGGAUUAGAUACCCUGGUAGUCCACGCCCUAAACGAUGCGAACUGGACGUUGGGAGCAACUAGGCUCUCAGUGUCGAAGCUAACGCGUUAAGUUCGCCGCCUGGGGAGUACGGUCGCAAGACUG